ACUAUAUAAAGGAAAAGGAAGGUUUUCUGAAGAUGAGGCAACUAAAUCAGAGAAAAACCUUAAGUUUGGUGAAAGAGUUAGAUGCCUUUCCUAAGGUUCCUAACAGCUAUGUGGAGACAUCAGCCAGUGGGGGAACAGUUUCUCUACGUUGGAGCAGAUGUACUGGGUUUAGCAGAGACCAUGGUUGCUUCUGCAGAUGGUCUGGCUUAUGAACCAGCACUGUUUGACCUUUCACCACAGCAGAGAGAGUGGCAGAGGGCAGCCCCACAUCCUCGAGGGCAUGCACAUUUGGCAGCACUUGUCAACCAUGAUUCUUACAACUUUUCUCACAGAAGAGAUCAUUUGUCUUUUGUUGAACUUAUUCCAGGAAUUAUUAAUCCUUUGGAAGGAACUGAAAAGAUCGCUGUAGAUCACAACCAGAUGCUCCAAUAUUUCAUUACAGUUGUGCCAACAAAGCUACAUACAUACAAGACUUCAGCAGAUACCCACCAGUUCUCUGUGACAGAAAGGGAGGCAUCAUCAACCAUGCUGCAGGCAGCCACAGCAUCUCUGGAAUAUUUAUGAAAUACGAUCUCAGUCCUGUCAUGGUGACAGUCCCUGAGGAACACAUGCUCUCUGGCAGUUUCUUGUAAGACUCUGUGGUAUUAUUGGAGGAAUCUUUUCAACAACAGGUAUGUAAGAUGGGAUUGGAAAAUCCAUAGUGGAAAUCAUUUGCUGUCCUUUCAGACUUGAAUCCUACAAGCCCUUCCAUUCUGUCCCCUUCACCGAUGGCCACAAAGACAACCACCUAACUCUUUUAGAGAGUAACACACAUUAGCACCUCAUGGGUGGAG
rnacentral:lncRNA from 1 species